GGGCCUGUGGCUCAGUAGUAGAGCAUGCUUGGCAUACAGAAGGUCCAGGUUUAAUCCCUGGCAUCUCCA
rnacentral:tRNA from 1 species